CUCAGCACUCAGUUGCUUCAGGCAGCCCUGCUCUUCAGAUCAUGGAGACUAUGCAUUUUCUGAACAGCUACACUAGCUACACUGUGUCAUGGCCAAGCUUCGGCUCAACUAUUUUGGAUAUGGGUCCCCAGUUCACAUUUCUGGGUGGAUUGGGGUUACUAUUUCUGCACCUUUGGUACUUGGUGAUGAAAUCUCUUUUGUCAACAGCCUGAGAAAAUAAAGAAGUCCAGAAGCAUCCAGGCAGAGGCAAGAGGAGAAGGAGAGGUACAACACUGAAAGGCAGGAGAAUUUGCCAGAGGAAAACAGAGAAGGAAAGGAAGCUGAUUGCUAUACUGACAAGCCCCCGGGAUGAGGAUCAUGAUACCAUGACCUUUUGUGAGCUGUUAUGUCCAGACUCUUUCUGCGAUGUGUGCAACAAGACGGCUGCUGAGUUCAUGAAAGUGCUAUUCCAGAAGUCCCUGGAGGAUGCUGCACCGUCUGUGUCACUGUUGGCUUCCCCAGUUUCUGAGACACAUUCACCAUCCACUUUGCCCUCCACCCUCUCAGAAUGCCCUCCAGGAAAAGUAAUACCAGCCCCUCUGCCUGAGCCUUCUCCACCUCCCACCUCCAUUCCUCACCUGACCUGAUGCCUCCCUUACCUGAAUUCCUUUCCCUGUGCCACUGGAUGACCCUCUGCUGCCAGAGCCUGUUCCUCCCUUAGAUUUCAAAUUACCAGUGGAUGAUGCCCCAUCCCAGCUACUUGCUUUCCGCCCUCCUCCACCUCAUCACAGAGUUAGAUCCCAGACUCUUAUCUGAAGACCUCUUUGGGUCUGUCCCUGAUCCUUCCUCACACCCUUCUUUAGUGGUAGCAUUUCUGAGCAUCUCUCAUGGAAGCUUCCAGAUUAACUCAAUCCAAAAUUCCCCGGAUCAUUGCUGCUCUGAACUCUAAAGAGAGAGAUCCAUGAGAGUCCAUAAUGGCAUUUUGACUUGGAUGUCUCAGGAAUAUCUCUCAGAGGAUUCAGCAGUGACACAGACUCAUGGACCCUGUGGGGCAGGCCCCGCCGGUAUUGGAUGAGCCUCUUUUGAAGGUGGUGCUCUAGUUUCUUCCAAAGCUCACUGCUGAGAGGAAAAUCUCCAGGAUAGAGAUGGGAACAUAAACCUUGGAGGACUGGCCUGUUCUCCAACGAGAGCCCACUUUUUCUAUAAAGACCAUCUUUGUAUUUGACCUCAUACUUCUCCAAGAUAUUGACCCUUCACCAGAUGUAUCCCAGGUGAUGGGUCCCAUUGAUUCUCAUGCAAAAUUCUCCCUGUGUCAGCCUCAUGCCAGGGACUUGUUCCCCUCCAGCUCAUCACAAUAUGAUCUCAAACCAGAGCUUCUUGCCCCUGAUCCUUCUAAGGCCUCUUUUGAGGGAAACCCUGCAGCCAACCUCGUAGAGCCUAAUGACUUCCCUUUAUUCAAGCCUGAAGUUCUAGAACUCUUGGAGAGGCAAGUUAAAAAGAGGAGAGAUUUUCACUUGUAGAAGGAAAAA